CUGCAAAAGAGAGGGAGACGGUGUGGGAGAACAUUGCUGCCCUGUCAAUGCAUUCUGAUGGUGUUAUCUGCCUGGUGGAGCCCCUUCACACCACAACAGACCUUGUAACUGAUGAAGAGGAUGAAACUGUGUCUGCUGCCUUUACAGAGGGGGAUCCAGAAAGGCAUACAGAGAGCAUGGCUGGACAGCAGCAGGAUGCUUCCUCAACUUCCACUGCACAGAUUGACUCAGUGAGAUGGAUGUUCAGUAAACACCAGAGGUUCAGUCCAUGGAAUUCAUGUGCAACUGUAUCAUUUAAUGUCCUUUGUGUAUUCCCAGUUAUCAGUAAAACAGAUUUACAAAAUGCACUUGCUGGGAAAAAUCCAGAAAACAGAUAAAGAAAUGCAGUACUUGGACCACCAGAUUAAGAAGGCAGAUCUGGAAAUUGAAAUACUGGAGCACAAGUUAGAGGUGGAUGCAGGUCACAGGUGAAUUAUGUUAACUACUGGAACAUUAACUAAACUAGCUCUUUUAUUUGUAGGAAAUAAAGAAG
ensembl:lncRNA